ACCCUGAAUAUAAGACGGCCCCCAUUUUUUCAGUCUUAUUUCAAUGCAAAAAAACAACGUCUUAAAUUCGGACCAAUACGGUAUAUAAAUAAAUGUUUGGCUUCCGAAGAUGAA